CUCGUAGGCGGCCAACUAAGUCGGAUGUGAAAUCCCCAGGCUUAACCUGGGAACUGCAUCCGAUACUGGAUGGCUUGAAUCCGGGAGAGGGAUGCAGAAUUCCAGGUGUAGCGGUGAAAUGCGUAGAUAUCUGGAGGAAUACCGGUGGCGAAGGCGGCAUCCUGGACCGGCAUUGACGCUGAGUGAGCGAAAGCUAGGGAGCAAACG
rnacentral:rRNA from 1 species